UCCAAACAAUCAUACUAACCUUUCUCUGUAAAAAGAUAAUUCAUCAUCUGACACUAUGACCCACACUAAACCGUGUGGUCACCACCACCACUACCAACAGAUGAACGUCCAAGUGUCCAUCUUUCUCUGCUUUUUAGGAACCGGAAGGCGUAGGCUGCCUUUCUUUCUCUCUGUCCAACCAAAAGAAAACCAUCCACUGCCUUGUACUAUUAUUGGCUACAUUAUUUCUUUACUUUCUUUUUCACUUUAUUAAGGGUCAGAACAAACGAAUUAACGGAACAUAAUUAAGGAGACAUGAAUAUAUUAUAAUAAGAAAGUUGGGAACUUACAAGAAGUCCGAAGUCUCGCAUCCAAUCGGUUUGGUGAGAAAAGCUGAAGAAAGAUAACACGUCCCAACAACGAAGCUUCCUGGAAAUUUCUCAUGGUUAGUUUUUCACCAUUUUUUUUUUUCCGGAAAAUCCUUCUCCUUUAACUUUGGUAAUACAUGGACGUUUAUCCUUCAGCUUUUCCUCGUAAACAAGUGGGAACGGAUCCGCUCAUGGAAUCAAGAGAUCUAGGCCGCAUAAAUUUAAUCCAAUGAUUUCCAUUAAUUCAUUGUUCUGAUCCUUCACACAUAACCAACGGCCAUGAUUUAUCUUGCACACCAAUCAGAGGGCCCGAUCUCUUGAUUUCUUGCAUGGAGAUUUCCUUGGUGCUUCUUUCAAAGAGACUUACAUUGCACCGAAACUUUAGAGUAGUAUGGCUCAAAUUUAUCCCCACUUCACAUUGUAUUUUAACUUUGUGACGUGAUAGCACGUAAUAAAUUAAUUACACCACUGUUUUGACGUUCCCGUUUCAAAUAAAGAAAGAGUGAGCAAGUAUUUCAAAUUGUUUAACCAUUUCUUAUCUAUAGCUUCUCUUCUAUCAUUUUAACUAUUAAAUUUUUAUUUAAAAAUAGAAAUAUCAAACUAUAAACCAUCCUAAAUAUUUUAUUCUUCAGGUAAACGAUCAUAUUAACUUUUCUUUGUCAAAAAAAAUAAAAAAAAAAUAAAAAAUCACAAUCUAACACUAUGACCCACACUAAACCGUGUUGUGGCCAACACCCCUACUGCCACUGGAAGCACUCGGGCUGUCUUUCUCUGUUUUUUUUCAGAAACGAGAAAGGCUUAGACUGCCUUUCAUUUUCUCUUUUGCUGAUGGGAACCAAAAGAAAAGCAUCCAGUGCCUUGUAUUAUGUAGGUUGAUUGUCUGCUAUUUCAUUUCUAUACAUUUAUCAUGUCUUAUGAUGUGUGGUUAUGUUUAAAUCACGUUAAUAAUUUAUAUUAAUUUUUUAUAAAAAUAAUAAACAAAAAAUAAUAAGAAUAUAAAAUAUUGACGUGACUUAAUCGUGAUCACACAAACAGGAAGACAUACGAAAAGUAUGAAAAUGGAAGGACAACAAUCCAACUCCUUGUAAUAUUGGCUGCUUGCUGCCUUUUAACAUAGUCAUCACGUGGCAUUCACAUUGAGCUAUUAAAACAGCCAAUCAAAUUUUUUUUUUUUUGACAAACAAUAUUAUUUAUUUUAAGAAUUGAGAAAAAUAGACUAAACCUCAUAAUAGGUUAGCAAUAAUAUGGUUCAAAAUUCAUUUUUUGCAAGAAUAGAACAUAACCUCACAAUUACAAGUAAAGAGGAAUAUCACUAAACUAUAAUAUUAAGUGGCAACAACCAAUCAAUUGGCUUGAGUAAAAAUAAAGGGCCCAACCCGAAUGAGCCAGACCCACAAAAUCCAAUAGUAAGUCAUCUCUAAUGGAGAAGGCUAAAUGUUUAAAAGAAAAAAAAAGACAUGACAUGAUUUGCCAAAAACUCAUAUCUAACCGAUGGCCAGACUAUAAUUUUAUAGAGCUCAUCAAGCUAUAAUUUGGCCAAGGGGCAUCAUGCUAGUCAAAUAUAGCCCCUCCUCUUAGUUUAAUUAGAUUUGAAGACAUCUAACAGUAGUUUAACUAAAUUAACCAAUAAAUUUAAACUUAAAACUAAUAAAUUAUUGUGGAACUAUUAUUUAGUUGAAGAUAGUAUAUGAAUAUGACAUGAUAUUAUUUAUUUAAAAAUAACUUUUUGCAUGCUAUAAUUCUGGACGGAAUUAUGUUUAAUCUUUUCGAUUAGAAAUAACGACCAUUGGCCAAAACGAUCAAACAAAGAUCGAUUAACUGUUGGUUAGUAUGACCAAAACCUGAAAUUGAAAUUAACCGAACCGAAAGUUUUCUCAUACCCAUGUAUGGUUACAUCAAACCUCAGCUUUAAUUCUUCACCUUUUUACAUUGGUAACAAACGAAUUAACGGUACAUAUCAAAGAGACAUGAAUAUAUAUAUAUAUAUAUAUAUAUACUCUGAUAAGAAUGCUGGGAACUUACAGAGAAAGAAGGCAUGCAUUCAAUUGCUUUGGUGAGAAAAGGUAAAGAAACAUAACACGUCCCAAGGAAGCUUCCUGAUAAUUUCUCAUAGUUACUAUUCCACCUUUUACUUCUACUUAGGUAAACAGUCAUAUACUAACUAACUUGACGAAACAAUUCACCAUCUGCCACUAUCAGUCUACCACCAACACUAAACCGUGUGGUCCCCACCACCACUACCAGUAGAAGUAGUACUCGGCUGUCCAUCUCUUUCCCAUUUGUUUCCUUUCCUCCUCUCUCAAUUUCCUCUCUUGCUACAACUUUUCUGCGAGAAUUUUCGAACCCCUCUUCCGGUAACUGAAUGAGAUUCAACGGCUUAAACUGAGUUAUCAGGGACUUAAGAUGAAAUCAAAUUAUCAGGGGCUUAAACUGAGUUAUCAGGGACUACAUCAUAACAAUAAUAAGGAAAUACAAUGGAGGGGUUUAGUAGAGAGCAGUAAACAUCAAUUUAGAUCUUUGAGGACUAGAGGCAAUGUAGGCCAACAAUGUCUUAUGACAACUGUUGAAUUGAAUAUAGAAAGUCAGAAGUGACAAAAUAUUUCCUCAUGUCGUUAUUAGCUAUGAAUCAGAUAUGACCAAUUGAAGAAAGAAAAUAAAGUCGAUGAACGAUUAAGCGAAACUUUGUCUUAGAGACCAAUGAAAUGCGACCUAGAAGCUUUAUCACACAAAAGUUCUUUGAAGACCUCUUCUUUUGCUUACCUGCUUACUUCUGCUGUAGAUCUUGAGGACUAGAGCCAUGUUGACCAGCCUCUUGUGAUAAAUGUUGAAUAGAAUCUAGAGUUAAAAGUGACAAAAUUUUUUUUUCAUAUUGCUACCAACUAUAGGUCAGAUAUGACUGGUUGAAGAAAGAAGAUAAAAUAGAUGAACGAUUAGGUGAAACUUUACCUUAGAAACCAAUCAAAUGCCACUGAGAAGUUUUAUUACACAAAAGUUCUUUGAAGACCUCUUGCUUAUGCUUCCAUGCUUACUUUUGUUGUAGGUCUUGAGGAGUAGGAGCAAUGUUGAUCAACCUCUUGCGACAAUUGUCGAUAAUUGUUGAAUUGAAUCUAGAAAGUUAAAAGUGACAAAUUAUAUUCAGUCUGAAAUAUUGUAGAGGACCCUCCUCCCAACCCUCACCCAACUGAAUGUAGCCAUCAAAUUUGAGUUAUUCCAACUAUUGCUCUUGCUUGCAAAGAAUGAAGUUAAUUCGUCUGCAACUGCAUCAUGCACGGUGUUAUCUUCAGCCGUCCACUCUUUUUAAAACUACUAAGGUUUGGCUUUAGUUAGAGGUCAUCAACAUCAAGAUGGGCGACCGAGAAAUGUCAAAAACUCUGGACACGUGUAAGGCUCCUUUACCAACACCUAAUGCAUUGCAUGUCAAUAUACAUGAUUUGGAUCGAUCUCAAUGGUUAAUUAUUCUUUUUUAUUGCAUUGUUAAUCAACUUUGUUAAAAUAAUGACACAAUUCAGCUUCU